GGGGAAUUUUGCGCAAUGGGCGAAAGCCUGACGCAGCAACGCCGCGUGGGUGAUGAAGGUCUUCGGAUCGUAAAACCCUGUCGUCGGGGACGAAGGUAGCUUAGUUAACAGCUGAGUUGCUUGACGGUACCCGGAGAGGAAGCCCCGGCUAACUCUGUGCCAGCAGCCGCGGUAAUACAGAGGGGGCAAGCGUUAUUCGGAAUUAUUGGGCGUAAAGGGCGCGUAGGCGGUUUUUUAAGUCAGAUGUGUAAUCCCCGAGCUCAACUUGGGAACUGCAUCUGAGACUGGAAGGCUAGAGUACUGGAGAGGGUGGUAGAAUUCCACGUGUGGCGGUGAAAUGCGUAGAGAUGUGGAGGAAUACCAGUGGCGAAGGCGGCCACCUGGACAGUAACUGACGCUGAGGCGCGAAAGUGUGGGUAGCAAAC
rnacentral:rRNA from 1 species